rnacentral:rRNA from 1 species
AGAGUUUGAUCAUGGCUCAGGAUGAACGCUGGCGGCGUGCCUAACACAUGCAAGUCGAACGAAGACCCCGAGGCAGAGAUUUCGGUCGAAGCCAAGGGAGGACUGAGUGGCGGACGGGUGAGUAACGCGUGGAUAACCUGCCCCAUACAGGGGGAUAGCAGUUGGAAACGACUGAUAAUACCGCAUAAGCGCACGGGGAGACAUCUCUUUGUGUGAAAAGAUUUAUCGGUAUGGGAUGGGUCCGCGUCCGAUUAGCAAGAUGGCGGGGUAAAGGCCCACCAAAGCGACGAUCGGUAGCCGGCCUGAGAGGGCGGACGGCCACAUUGGGACUGAGACACGGCCCAGACUCCUACGGGAGGCAGCAGUGGGGGAUAUUGCACAAUGGGGGGAACCCUGAUGCAGCGACGCCGCGUGGGUGAAGAAGUAUUUCGGUAUGUAAAGCCCUAUCAGCAGGGAAGAAAGUGACGGUACCUGAGUAAGAAGCCCCGGCUAACUACGUGCCAGCAGCCGCGGUAAUACGUAGGGGGCAAGCGUUAUCCGGAUUUACUGGGUGUAAAGGGAGCGUAGAUGGAAUGGCAAGUCAGAUGUGAAAGGCAUGGGCUCAACCCGUGGACUGCAUUUGAAACUGCCAGUCUGGAGUGUCGGAGGGGCAGGCAGAAUUCCUGGUGUAGCGGUGAAAUGCGUAGAUAUCAGGAGGAAUACCGGUGGCGAAGGCGGCCUGCUGGACGAUAACUGACAUUGAGGCUCGAAAGCGUGAAGAGCAAACAGGAUUAGAUACCCUGGUAGUCCACGCAGUAAACGAUGAAUACUAGGUGCUAGCUUCCACAGAGAGUCGGUGCCGCCGCUAACGCAUUAAGUAUUCCACCUGGGGAGUACGCCGGCAACGGUGAAACUCAAAGGAAUUGACGGGGGCCCGCACAAGCGGAGGAACAUGUGGUUUAAUUCGAUGAUACGCGAGGAACCUUACCCGGGCUCAAACGCGCAGAGACAGUUGCGGAAACGCAAUCUCCCCUCGGGGCCCUGUGGAGGUGCUGCAUGGUUGUCGUCAGCUCGUGCCGUGAGGUGUCGGCUUAAGUGCCAUAACGAGCGCAACCCCUUUCGCCAGUUGCCAUCAGGUGAUGCUGGGCACUCCGGCGACACUGCCACCGUAAGGUGUGAGGAAGGUGGGGAUGACGUCAAAUCAGCACGGCCCUUACGUCCGGGGCUACACACGUGUUACAAUGGGUGGUACAGAGAGUCAGCGGCCGGCAACGUCCGCUCAAUCAAGAAAGCCAUCCUCAGUUCGGAUUGGGGUCUGCAACCCGACCCCAUGAAGCUGGAUUCGCUAGUAAUCGCGCAUCAGCCAUGGCGCGGUGAAUACGUUCCCGGGCCUUGUACACACCGCCCGUCAAGCCAUGAAAGCCGGGGGCGCCUGAAGUCCGUGACCGCGAGGGUCGGCCUAGGGUGAAACCGGUGAUUGGGGCUAAGUCGUAACAAGGUAACCGUA